AAAUACAUUGUCAAGAAUUCCUGCCUUAUAAAGUUGUCCUCUGCAAUACACUUUCAGCCUUUUUCUAUUUGUAAGAGUUCUUGCAAUAUUUUGUUCUUGGUGUUUUUCAGAGAAAAGAGGAAAUACCACAUGCCUGUUAUUUACAUUAGUUAAGCAAGGGAGAAGUAUGCUUAUACAAGCAACCCGCACCUGCAAAGACAAUUCAAGUCUUCAGGGGAAUUCAUGGAUCAAGAAAAAUAAUACAUUCUUCCCAUAUUAUAGAAUAUUUCCAUCACUAAAUAUAACUCGAUGCCAACUUCUGCAGUUUCCAUCUAUAUUACAAAAAGCCCAAUAAAUAGUGGAGUUGGAAACA